GCGGGAUUAACUCAGUUGGUAGAGUGUCAGCUUCCCAAGCUGAAUGUCGCCGGUUCGAACCCGGUAUCCCGCU
rnacentral:tRNA from 1 species